CCGGCCCUCACUCCACCAGACUGGUUCCGCUGGGGACGGUCCAGCGGGACGGCCCGGAGAAGGGAGGCUCAGAGGUCUGGCUGGCGGCCAUUUCUAGGAGCCAGGCUCCCUUCGGCUUUCUGUCCUUCAAAGGAUUCGUUCCUCCGGCAGCGAGCAGUCCCGUAGCCGCAUAUCCUGCCUGCGUCAAGGUCACUUCCCACUAAAUAAGAGAAUAAGGCAGUGUGAUUAACUGUACCCGAGGACCAAGAGGCAAGGCUCUGGCAACAGCUUUGGCGCAGACAGUGACGCUGACUGGAGGACACCAGGGAGCGGCGGUGACACAGACCCAAGAUGGCGGCCUCCCCGGCAACCCCACCCCCUCCACCUUCCUCACUGAUCGACUUCACCAUCUGAUUUGCUUCCAGCGUGGAAGCAAAUUUAUUUAUUUUUAUUAUUUAUUUUUAAGUUAAUUGGUUCAUGUCACAUUUCUUUUUAAAAUCCCUGCAAAAGUUUGCUAUUGAUUUUUUUUUAUUAAAUCCAGUCAAGCCUGUUAGCUUGGCCCGCAGAGCUGGCUGCUUAGAGCCUGGGCCUUCUCUUCAGACUCCAGCUGUUCCCCAGCGGCCCUUGCUCCCCCAUAUCCAGAGCCCCCUGGACUCUGCGGGCUCCUGCAUACCAGCCCCUGUCUGUCUCAGGGCACCCCCCGCCCCUGACCCUCAGCCUUCCCUCUGCCUGGAACACUUUCCUCCUCUUGCCACGAAUAACCUCUCUGAACCUUAUGCUCUCCACCUCAGUGUCAGUGGCAGGGAACUCUGCACGCUCCUCCUCAUGUGGCUCAAUGCCCCAGAACUAUUGUCUUCCUGAUGUAAUUUUUUAAAAAUUCUUUCAUAAGUGUUAGUCA